rnacentral:rRNA from 1 species
CCUACGGGAGGCAGCAGUGGGGAAUAUUGUGCAAUGGGCGAAAGCCUGACGCAGCGACGCCGCGUGAGGGAUGAAGGUCUUCGGAUCAUAAACCUCUGUCAGCAGGGAAGAACGGUCACUGUGCUAAUCAGCAGUGAAUUGACGGUACCUGCAAAGGAAGCACCGGCUAACUCCGUGCCAGCAGCCGCGGUAAUACGGAGGGUGCGAGCGUUAAUCGGAAUUACUGGGCGUAAAGCGCUCGUAGGCGGUAUGUCAAGUCAAGGGGGAAAUCCCCGCGCUCAACGUGGGAACUGCCUUUGAAACUGGCAAACUGGAGUGUGUGAGAGGAUAGUGGAAUUGCAGGUGUAGGAGUGAAAUCCGUAGAUAUCUGGAGGAACAUCAGUGGCGAAGGCGACUAUCUGGCACAUAACUGACGCUGAGGAGCGAAAGCGUGGGUAGCAAACAGGAUUAGAUACCCUUGUAGUC